rnacentral:rRNA from 1 species
AUUGCCAUCAUUUAGUUGGGUACUCUAAAGGAACCGCCGGUGAUAAGCCGGAGGAAGGUGGGGAUGACGUCAAUUCCUCAUGGCCCUUACGCGUUGGGCUACACACGUGCUACAAUGGCGACUACAGUGGGCAGCCACCUCGCGAGAGGGAGCUAAUCUCCAAAAGUCGUCUCAGUUCGGAUCGUUCUCUGCAACUCGAGAGCGUGAAGGCGGAAUCGCUAGUAAUCGCGGAUCAGCAUGCCGCGGUGAAUACGUUCCCAGGCCUUGUACACACCGCCCGUCACACCAUGGGAGUUGGAUUCACUCGAAGGCGUUGAGCUAACCGCAAGGAGGCAGGCGACCACAGUGGGUUUAGCGACUGGGGUGAA